GAAAGGUGGAAAGACUAUCUCCCAGUUGGACAGCGGAUGCCUGGGACUCGUUUCAUUGCUUUCAAAGUUCCUUUGCAAAAGAGUUUUGAAAAGAAACUUGCUCCAGAAGAAUGCUUUUCCCCUUUGGAUCUUUUUAACAAAAUCCGAGAACAAAAUGAAGAACUUGGACUGAUUAUUGAUUUAACAUAUACUCAACGCUAUUAUAAACCAGAGGAUUUGCCAGAAACUAUUCCUUACUUAAAAAUUUUUACAGUUGGACAUCAAGUGCCUGAUGAUGAGACUAUUUUUAAAUUCAAACACGCUGUUAAUGGGUUUUUGAAAGAAAAUAAAGAUAAUGAUAAACUUAUUGGUGUCCACUGUACCCAUGGUUUAAACAGGACUGGCUACCUUAUUUGCAGAUAUUUGAUUGAUGUAGAAGGCGUGAGGCCAGAUGAUGCAAUUGAAUUAUUCAAUAGGUGCCGGGGACAUUGCUUAGAAAGACAGAACUACAUUGAAGACCUUCAGAAUGGUCCUAUCAGAAAAAAAUUUUCAGAGAAUCCACAUGUUUACCAGAGACGCCGUCUCCCUCCUCCUGGUCCCCCUGGAGAGGACUAUUCACACAGGAGGUACUCUUGGAAUGUGAAGCCCAAUGCCAGUCGGGCAGCCCAGGAUAGAAGGUGGUAUCCUUACAAUUACUCCAGACUCUCCUAUCCAGCCUGUUGGGAAUGGAACCAGUGAUACAAACCUGUCCUGGAAUUCUACCUGGAGACCAGAGCUGGCCAGAAGAUUACUGGUGUGACUUUUA
rnacentral:sRNA from 1 species